UUUUUUUAUCAAGCAAAGAAAUACUAUAAAAGACCUGGAGAGGGCCAGAACCCUUAACAAUAAAAGUGCUUACAUAAAAACAAAAAGAGGAUGCAAAUCCUCCAAGAAUAAAACUAACAAAGCGCAACUGCUAAAAGAACAACAAAGGGAAAUGGAAGAAGCUACUAGCUAAACACCCAGGUACGUUCACAAAAAUUCUUUGAACAUCUAAUGAGACCGAAUCAACAGUAUCUUAUAUAACAGAUCUUGUUGCCUAAACAAGUUGUUGCAAAUAACACUUCCCAUGUAUUCUAUUGCAAUGGAAGAAUAGUUAUAUGUGCUCAUACAACGGAUUUUUGUCACGGAUCCUUCCAUGCUGUUUCUCUUGAUCUCACUAUAAUUUUCGUUAUUCUCAUUCAAACUCUAAAGCCUCAUUCUUGUAAACCCUAUCAACACUUUCUGAAACACACAAUGGGGACAAAGGGUCUCUUCUUGCUUUCACCAACGUUCUACUUGUUCUUCCAAUUCUGUUUAUCCAAAUUAUGGGGAUUAUAAAAAAUUGAAUUCACAACCUUAAUGAUAGUUUUAAUCUUCAAAAGCAUCCUCAGGAUUGUGAGAAAUUAAAAUGAAAAGAAAAAGAUAGUUUCUAUCUUCAGAUGCAUCCUCAAGAUCUUCACUUUCCAUGUAAAUUAAAUUUUUUGAAGCAAAAUUCAAUAUUUUUUUUUUUUUUGCCUUUUUGCUUCUGGGCCUUAUUUUAAUUAUAUAUAUAUAACCCACUUGGGUUGGCCUGGUGGUAUUGGCUUGGGAUCUGGUAGUGUGCUCCUGCUCGAGGUCUGAGGUUCGAGUCAAUUUGGGUGGACUAAUUUAUCUUCAAAUAUAUAUAUAUAUUCGUCUUUAAUUUUUUGUGAAACAGUUGAAUUGAGGAAGGAGUCAUCUUGCACUUUGAUACUGUCUAACAAGUCAGAUCAUUAUGUAGCUUUCAAGGUUAGGUCUACUUGUGGUAAUGCACAGAAGUAUUAUGUUGAUCCUUCUUGCAUUGGAGUUGUGCUGCCUAGGUCUACUUGUGAUAUUAUAGGUUUUCCCCUCUCUUUUUCACCAUUUUUUCAUCAGCACCUGUUAUUGCUUACUGCACCCUCUUUAGUAAAUUAUUUACUCUAGACAAGCUAAAUCCGUUGUAUAAAUGUAGUUUGUUCUGUUACUCACUUUCUUUGACUGUUUGUGUCAUAUUUACAUUUUCACAUUGCUUACUGCACCCUCUUUGACUGUUUGUUUGAUGAUGAUUCUCUAAUACUAGCAAGAGUAGUAGUGUGUCCUGUUGACCCAUUGUUCAGGGAAAAUAUCCUCUUCAACUCCCAUUUAUUGAAGUGGAGCUCAAUGCUCUUGGGCAUUUUCA